rnacentral:rRNA from 1 species
UACGGGGGGGGGCAAGCGUUGUUCGGAAUUACUGGGCGUAAAGGGCUCGUAGGCGGCCAACUAAGUCGGACGUGAAAUCCCCAGGCUCAACCUGGGAACUGCGUCUGAUACUGGAUGGCUUGAAUCCGGGAGAGGGAUGCAGAAUUCCAGGUGUAGCGGUGAAAUGCGUAGAUAUCUGGAGGAAUACCGGUGGCGAAGGCGGCUACCUGGACCGGUUCUGACGCUGAUGCGCGAAAGCGUGGGUAGCAAACAGG